UACGUAGGGGGCUAGCGUUGUCCGGAAUCAUUGGGCGUAAAGAGCGCGUAGGCGGCCAGAUAAGUCCGGUGUGAAAGUCAAAGGCUCAACCUUUGAAUGCCGCUGGAAACUGUCUGGCUAGAGUCCGGGAGGGGCGAGUGGAAUUCCUGGUGUAGCGGUGAAAUGCGCAGAUAUCAGGAGGAACACCAGUGGCGAAGGCGGCGACCUGGACGGACACUGACGCUGAGACGCGAAAGCGUGGGGAGCAAACAGG
rnacentral:rRNA from 1 species